CAAGUUCCAAACCCUGGGAAUACAGCCCAGGGACCACAGAGGAUUUAUCAGGGGUGGCUGCCAAUCAUCUUGGAGUCUCAUGGUUUUCUGCUUGUUGGUUCUGCCCCACAGCAGGAGAAAGACAGCUGUGGAAGGGGAAGAGACUCCCGGAAGGAAGGCAGGAAUCCUGUCUGCUUGUCCUCAGCACCUAAUGCAGUACCUGGAAAUUGAAAAAUGAAAAAUUACCUCCCAAAUCCUGAUUCUAGAAACCAUGAAUAAAGCUGAGAAAAGUCUGCUGUUCUGCAUAGUUACACAUCCUAACACCUCAAAGACUUCAAUCUCUGCUUCAGAGACCGUGAGAAACAGUUUAUUCCAAAAAGCAAAUGGAAUCUGCAUUGGAAAUAAAUUCUUUAUAGAUGGCCAGAUGUGCCAAGUCGGGGACCACUGCAUGGAUACACACAAAGCUAAACAGCUCAUUAUGAACACCAAAGUGAGUUUUUAUUUUAACAGGGCCUGUGCUGCAGCACACAGAGUCAGUAUAAAGGAGAAAGACUUCUCAAUCAAGAAAAAAAAAAAAUUUUAAGGCAAAAAAGACUUCACUGGAUGGACUGCAAUUGUGUUCACUACCGCAAAGGCUCUGCAAUAGGACAGCUGCUGAAGCUGCCUGGUGAAACAAUGCUGAGUGGUGGGUGUCAUCCUGUUAGUGUACGAAGAGUUUAAAGAAAAAUGGAUUUUUUGCCAAAGCACUGUAAUACCAGAUACAAGGAAUAAUAAAAAAAAAAAAAUCCCAUUGCCCUACUAUAAUCAACCUUUAACUCUUCAUGUUUCCUUUAAGUCUUUCUGCCUGCCUGCCUUCCCUCCUUCUGUGUGUUUGUUUGGUUUUUUCCUCCUUGUUUGAGACAGGGUCUCACUGUGUACUUCAGGCUGGUUUUUAACUCACUAUGCAGCCCAGGUUGGCCUUGAACUCACAGCGUUCAUCCUACCUAAGCCUCCCAAGUGCUGAGAUUACAGAUUACACCACACCCAGCUCUGUGCCCACAUUUAACAAGUUCCUAUAGUUCAAAACAGUGUGUAUGUAAUUUCUAUAUGGCCAUGUUCAAUCUCCACGUUCUUCUCCAGUCUGCAUAGUUAAUGUCUCUAUUCAAUUUCAACAAAUCAAUGUAUCAUAAUGUACUUAACAAGCUUCCUACUCCUGGACCUUUCUGUGACUCCAACACCAUUAUAAUACAAUGCUAC